rnacentral:rRNA from 1 species
UACGUAGGGUGCAAGCGUUAAUCGGAAUUACUGGGCGUAAAGCGUGCGCAGGCGGUUCUGUAAGUUUGUCGUGAAAUCCCCGGGCUUAACCUGGGAAUUGCGAUGAAGACUGCAAGGCUAGAAUCUGGCAGAGGGGGGUAGAAUUCCACGUGUAGCAGUGAAAUGCGUAGAGAUGUGGAGGAACACCGAUGGCGAAGGCAGCCCCCUGGGUCAAGAUUGACGCUCAUGCACGAAAGCGUGGGGAGCAAACAGG